CAAACAUCGAAUGAGCUUCUUUGUACAUUUUCAGAUAAAGCAAUUGAAGAAUACCGUCAAACAAAUACUUGGAUAUGUUACCACGAGGACGAGUGGAAUUUGGUUCAAGAGAAAUAGCAAAUAUAUUAACAAUAUGGUUCACUUCGAGCUUUUUCAUACAACGAAAUGGCGAACCAUUUGCCGCAAAUCUCAUGGCGACGAUAGGGACAGUCAUGCAGCUGAAAAGAUGACAUUCGAAGGUAUAGGGAUGCCCAUACUUCUUUGAAUAAAUCGAUCAUCAAAUGAUCGAUUUUCCUCGUUUUAAUAAAGUUUUACGAUAAUAUAGAGAAAAACAAAUUAUGCUUCGUU